AAGUAUUAAUAUAAAUACCACAACACAGUAUAUAACAGUAGGAUAUACUAGUAGUUUUAUUUACUGUGAUUUAAAUCAAUUUCUCAACUUAGGAAAUGGGAAGGGUGGGAAAAAAGCAUGGAGGAAAAGGAUGAAAUAAAAAAGGAAGAGGUAGGGGGAACAAAAAAAGAUAUUUAAAAAAACAUGCAGCUUAUACAAUUUACAAACAAAUGCAGCUUAUACAAAAUAAAAAAUGAAUAUAAGGCAAAAAACUAAAAUAAUUAACCAUUUAUUUUUAUUUAUUUUUUGGCAUCGAGUCCAGGAAAUCUUUUUGCCUUUAAACCAUAAAUCCAGUGACUUGAAGUAAUCUUAUGUCGAAAUCACCUCUUUGGAUCAUGGACCCUACCUAGGCACAAAAAAUGACACACAAGAUUCCACCAUUUCAACAGCUGUUCUUGGAAUUUUGUCAAUCCAAAAAGUAUUUGAAAAGAAGAAGACCAAGCAAAGGACGUGGUGUAAGCAGUGGCUUCGCAUUAGUGGAAAAUACUCGCACAUGAACUCCAGGAAAACAGCUUGGGAUGAUUUCCAAAAUUAUUUGAGGAUGAAUGAUGACUGUUUCCAGCAACUGCAGAUAGCCAUGACACCACAUAUUCAAAAAAGGACACCAUAAUCCGUGAGUCUUCUAGUCUGGAGCAUAGGCCAAUUGUGACCCUACGCUAUCUGGUCUGCAGGUCCUAAAGUUCACAUUUCCCCACAAGCCCUUGAACAGAUCACCCCAGAGAUGUACACAGCUCUCAUCAGUGUGAUAAAGGAUGAAUAUAUAAAGGAACAGUGCAUUUUCGUAAAUAGUUUUUUUUUUACAAAAAAAAUUGUUUACAUAAUGUUCCUGCCCUACUAUAGGUGUUCUAUGUGAUUCUAUAUGAUUGUGCAUUCAAUCAGUUUCCUACCAAUCCUACUGAGUGACUGAAGGCUGCCAAAAUUGUUUGGGAGCUUUGGAACUUUCCUAUUUGUGGUGGAGCCAUCGAUGGGAAGCAUGUAGGGAUUACAUCACCCUCAAGUCUGGAUCAUAUUACUUCAGUUUCAAAGGAUUUUUCAGCAUCAUAAAGCUUGCAGUUGUGAAUGCAAGGUAUGAAUUAAUAUAUUUAGACAUUUGGGAAAAUGGAUGCAACUCUGAUGGAAGUGCCAUUGAACACACAGAGUUCUACAGCACCUCCAGAGUGGAACUCUGAACCUGCUGACCUGCGACAACACUGUCGAAGGUAUGAUCUUCGUUUUAGUGGCUGACGAUGCCUUUGCCCUAGGAGUGCACCUCAUGUAACCCUUCCCUGUGUGCAACAUGACAAGUGAGCAGAAGAUCUUGAACUAUAGACUGUACAGGUAACCUAGGGUAGUAGAGAAUGCUUUCAUCAUCAUGGCCAACCAAUUUUGCAUAUUUCAAACCACCAUCAUUUUGGCUGUAUAUAAAAUGUAUAUACUUGUUUUCUGCUGUUUCCUGAAUAACCUCACAUCUCUUGCCAUUGCAUCUCCCAGGUUGCCUACAUUAAAUGCUCAUUAAUGCAGGUUGGAUUAUGUGAAUUAUUUUACUGGCACUAGGGAAGUGGCCUGGUACAAUGAUAUUUAAACAACAUCUUCAUACCUGUGUAAUUAUUUUUCUGUCAACAUUAAUGGCAUCAGUGGAACGUUGAUCUUUAUUUUAAAGAGGAACUGCAGUCUACUCACAUAAU